AUGGUGACGGUGGGAAUUCACAAGCAAAAAUUAGUGCGAAUAAUUAUGUCUGCACAUACCUUUCCAGAUCUCGACGUCGUCGGUGAGCUUCUGGUAGACGGGCGUGGCGGACCAGACGAAGAGGCCGCCGGGGCGGAGGACGCGGUUGAGCUCGAGGAGGAGGGCGCCGCCGUCGGCGUGCCAGGGGACACGGCAGCGCGCGCAGUGGACGAGGUCGAAGGCCUUGCUGGGGAAGGGCAGGCGCUUGGAGCCCAUGACGGCGGAGAUGGCCGGGAUGCCGCGCUCCAGCGCCAUCUGCACCUGCGCCUCGUGCUCGUCCUUGGGCGCGAACGACAUGGUCACCACGUCCCGCUCGAACAGGUAGCCCCCGAAGCUGGCCACGCCGCACCCCACGUCCAGCACCACCCGCGUGCGCUUCCCCCACGCGACGCCGCGCACCGACUGCUGCAGGAAGUCGAUGUAGUGCAGCGCGCCGUGGAUGAACUGCGUGCCGCCGCCGGGGAAGAGCAGGUACUGCCCGCUCACCUUCACCCAGUUCUGGUGCCCCUUCACCUGGACCAGCUUCGUGUGCGGCACAUUGCUCAGCCAAAUCUGCACAAGUCACCAUCGUUGUGUCAGUGA
rnacentral:rRNA from 1 species